rnacentral:rRNA from 1 species
CGGCGGACGGGUGAGUAACACGUGGUAACCUACCUAUAAGACUGGGAUAACUUCGGGAAACCGGAGCUAAUACUGGAUAAUAUUUCGAACCGCAUGGUUCGAUAGUGAAAGGUGGUUUUGCUAUCACUUAUAGAUGGACCCGCGCCGUAUUAGCUAGUUGGUAAGGUAACGGCUUACCAAGGCGACGAUACGUAGCCGACCUGAGAGGGUGAUCGGCCACACUGGAACUGAGACACGGUCCAGACUCCUACGGGAGGCAGCAGCC